AUGAUGUAUUUUGUGCUACCUGAUAAUGCCGGUGCAAAGAAGAGAGCGAUCAUAUCUGAGAAAUAUUUCAUCUUCCAGAAAUAUGCUAUGUACUCUUCGGGGCCAUGCCGUAACCCUCCGACGCAGUACAUCUCCCUGGGCCCUAGCUGCGCUCACGGACGCCUGAUCGCAGCCUAUCCUUGGCCGCCCGCCACAGCGCUGCGGCCACCCAUCAUGCCCUGCCUUGCUCUCGUGCAGAAUUAUCUCUUCCCAAUUCCACUCCACCCCUCCGCUCCAUACUCCACACCUACACCCAGAUCUAGCACACCAUGGCAGCAAUGCCGCCGUCGCUCCCGGACGAUCUUGUCCAAGAGAUCCUCCUCCGCUUCCCGACCGACGACCCCACCUACCUCCUCCGAUCCUCCCUCGUUUGCAAGGCCUAGAGCGGCGUUAUUUCCUGCCGCGACUUUCGCCGCCGCCUCCAGGAGCUCCACCGGGCACCCCCCCUUGCUCGGCUUCCUCCACGUCAAGACCAGCGAGAGCACCCCCUGCUUCAUCCCCACCACUGCAUCGUCCUUAUCGCUCGCUGCCGCAAACUACUACUCGUGGCUGGCCCUCGACUGCCGCCACGGUCGCGCCCUCUUCCUCUCCAGAUCUCAGGAUCAUGAGGAACUCCUCGUGUGGGAGCCAAUCAUGGGUACCCAAGAGCGCGUACCGGUGCCUGUAGCAUUUGAGUUCAGCUACUCGGCUGCGGCCGUGUUAUGCACAGUGGAUGAGUGUGACCAUCGCGAUUGCCUUGGGGGUCCUUUCUGCGUGCUUUUCGUCUUCUCCUCCAAGGAAGAUGCCGACGAGAGUGUCACGUCGGCAUGCAUAUACUCGUCAGAGACUGGUGCCUGGGGCGGGCUGACCACGAUGCACGGCGACUACUUCAUCGUCUAUGACUAUCAGGACAGUGAGAUGAUCCUGGAGUAUGACUUGUCAAGGCACUUCCUAAUUAUGUUUAGUGUACCAGACAACCAUUGUGACUGCAUAUACACUCUCAUGGUGACGGAGGGCGGUGGGCUGGGAGUAAUCCAAGACUUGCAUCGGCAUGUCAAGUUGUGGACAAGAGAGGUGAGUGAUGGCGCUGAUGCACAAUGGUUGCUCAGCCGGGUCAUCUACCUGCACAAUUUGCUCCCAGCCAGUGCUCAAGGUUAUAGAGUGCGGGUGAUGGGCUUUGCUGAGGGAGCAAAUGCCAUUUUUGUUAGUACGGUUGUCGGCCUGUUUGCAAUUGAUCUACAAUCUGAGCAGGCAAGGAAGGUGUCUGAUCAUUGUGGCUUUUGUUUCCAUAAAUUGGUUCCAGUUGUCACCUUCUACACUCCUGCGCCCCGAGGCGACCACCAAAAUUUGCUGGUGUCGAAGCCUAGUGAGGAGGCAGGUGGUGAGGAGGUGGGAGAGGGGGAGAAAACAAUACAUAAGGCAUAA
rnacentral:rRNA from 1 species